rnacentral:rRNA from 1 species
AUUGAACGCUGGCGGCAUGCCUUACACAUGCAAGUCGAACGGCAGCACGGGUGCUUGCACCUGGUGGCGAGUGGCGGACGGGGGAGUAAUACAUCGGAACAGGUCCUGUAGUGGGGGAUAGCCCGGCGAAAGCCGGAUUAAUACCGCAUACGAUCUACGGACGAAAGCGGGGGACCUUCGGGCCUCGCGCUAUAGGGUUGGCCGAUGGCUGAUUAGCUAGUUGGUGGGGGAAAGGCCUACCAAGGCGACGAUCAGUAGCUGGUUUGAGAGGACGACCAGCCACACUGGGACUGAGACACGGCCCAGACUCCUACGGGAGGCAGCAGUGGGGAAUUUUGGACAAUGGGCGAAAGCCUGAUACAGCAAUGCCGCGUGUGUGAAGAAGGCGUUCGGGUUGUAAAGCACUUUUGUCCGGAAAGAAAUCCUUGGCCCUAAUACGGUCGGGGGAUGACGGUACCGGAAGAAUAAGCACCGGCUAACUACGUG